rnacentral:rRNA from 1 species
UGAGGAAUAUUGGUCAAUGGACGCAAGUCUGAACCAGCCAAGUAGCGUGCAGGAUGACGGCCCUCUGGGUUGUAAACUGCUUUUAUAUGGGGAUAAAGUGGGGAACGUGUUCCCUUUUGCAGGUACCAUAUGAAUAAGGACCGGCUAAUUCCGUGCCAGCAGCCGCGGUAAUACGGAAGGUUCGGGCGUUAUCCGGAUUUAUUGGGUUUAAAGGGAGCGUAGGCCGUUUGGUAAGCGUGUUGUGAAAUGUAGGAGCUCAACUUCUAGAUUGCAGCGCGAACUGUCAGACUUGAGUGCGCACAACGUAGGCGGAAUUCAUGGUGUAGCGGUGAAAUGCUUAGAUAUCAUGAAGAACUCCGAUGGCGAAGGCAGCUUACGGGAGCGCAACUGACGCUGAAGCUCGAAGGUGCGGGUAUCGAACAGG